GGGGGCCAGCUGCUGACGGGGGGCCAGCUGCUGACGGGGGGCCAGCCAACCGGCGUCACGGUCGGUCGACAAAGUGCGCUACGUUGCAUCUAAAUCUGCCACAUUUGAAGGAUGCAACAGUUUGGGUUCUGACGCACAGCAGGUUGAAAUGGAAGCCGACAAACAGAAAUGCAGCCAAACACAGUUCGGGUUCACUGUGUCACGUUGACUGAAGAAGGAGAAGGAGAGAGAGAGAGAGAGAGAGAGAGAGAGAGAGAGAGAGAGAGAGGAGGGAAGAGGGAAGAAAAAACAGGUACCGCCAACCAGCUGUCAGAAAAGAUUGUUGAUGCCUUUCUCAGAAGAUCACCCAGUGACCCUGCAGGAGGAGGCGGAGGAGGGCGGAAAGAAGAGCAGACCGAGGCAACCGUCCGGAUGAAACUGGAGCGAGCGUCCGGCGACGACAGCGAAGCAGCGUGAACGACGCUGCGACUUUCUCUCUGGGUGUUUUUUGCUAAAGAUUAAUGAACAAAACAAUCCGCUGAAACAACCUCAGUCACUGGACAUCAGCGUUUCUUUCGUGUGGGGAAUCCACAUGAAACAAUUUGUCUCCGCACUUCCCCUCGGCCUGUCUUUUUGUAGUCCUAAAAAUAAAGUCCUCUGGUAACGCCACUCCACCGCACUAACCCCGACCGCCCGCCCUGUUUCCACUCCUCCUCCUCCCGAGUCGUUCCUGAAGUUCCUAGAAUCUUCCACAGUUCCAGUUUCAGCGAACGCUGAGGAACGCCAAGACGCUGCCAGCUCCAAAAACUGUGGUUGGCCUCAGACAAUGUUCCGUUCUGUCCGUCUCUCCACAUGUAGUUCACAUGUGAGACACAUUCCACCCUCAAUAUGCGAGUUGCCUCCAGAGGAUGUGUAUUGGGAUUUGGCCUCGUGUAAAUUCAAUUGAAUUGAAUUGAAUUAACAUGUCGGCAAUGUUGUCAUCUCUGUGCGGAAGAUUAUGAGGGCCAGGCAUAAGGGAAAAAUGAAGGGGAAUUUUAUAUUGUAUUUCGAGAAUGAAGUCGAAAUGUGGAGAUUAAAGUUGAAAUGUGGAGAUUAAAGUGGGAAUAGCCCUGAA